AUUGAACGCUGGCGGCAUGCCUUACACAUGCAAGUCGAACGGCAGCACGGAGCUUGCUCUGGUGGCGAGUGGCGAACGGGUGAGUAAUAUAUCGGAACGUACCCUAGAGUGGGGGAUAACGUAGCGAAAGUUACGCUAAUACCGCAUACGAUCUAAGGACGAAAGUGGGGGAUCGCAAGACCUCAUGCUCGUGGAGCGGCCGAUAUCUGAUUAGCUAGUUGGUAGGGUAAAAGCCUACCAAGGCAUCGAUCAGUAGCUGGUCUGAGAGGACGACCAGCCACACUGGAACUGAGACACGGUCCAGACUCCUACGGGAGGCAGCAGUGGGGAAUUUUGGACAAUGGGCGAAAGCCUGAUCCAGCAAUGCCGCGUGAGUGAAGAAGGCCUUCGGGUUGUAAAGCUCUUUUGUCAGGGAAGAAACGGUGGGAGCUAAUAUCUCUUGCUAAUGACGGUACCUGAAGAAUAAGCACCGGCUAACUACGUGCCAGCAGCCGCGGUAAUACGUAGGGUGCAAGCGUUAAUCGGAAUUACUGGGCGUAAAGCGUGCGCAGGCGGUUUUGUAAGUCUGAUGUGAAAUCCCCGGGCUCAACCUGGGAAUUGCAUUGGAGACUGCAAGGCUAGAAUCUGGCAGAGGGGGGUAGAAUUCCACGUGUAGCAGUGAAAUGCGUAGAUAUGUGGAGGAACACCGAUGGCGAAGGCAGCCCCCUGGGUCAAGAUUGACGCUCAUGCACGAAAGCGUGGGGAGCAAACAGGAUUAGAUACCCUGGUAGUCCACGCCCUAAACGAUGUCUACUAGUUGUCGGGUCUUAAUUGACUUGGUAACGCAGCUAACGCGUGAAGUAGACCGCCUGGGGAGUACGGUCGCAAGAUUAAAACUCAAAGGAAUUGACGGGGACCCGCACAAGCGGUGGAUGAUGUGGAUUAAUUCGAUGCAACGCGAAAAACCUUACCUACCCUUGACAUGGCUGGAAUCCUUGAGAGAUCAGGGAGUGCUCGAAAGAGAACCAGUACACAGGUGCUGCAUGGCUGUCGUCAGCUCGUGUCGUGAGAUGUUGGGUUAAGUCCCGCAACGAGCGCAACCCUUGUCAUUAGUUGCUACGAAAGGGCACUCUAAUGAGACUGCCGGUGACAAACCGGAGGAAGGUGGGGAUGACGUCAAGUCCUCAUGGCCCUUAUGGGUAGGGCUUCACACGUCAUACAAUGGUACAUACAGAGCGCCGCCAACCCGCGAGGGGGAGCUAAUCGCAGAAAGUGUAUCGUAGUCCGGAUUGUAGUCUGCAACUCGACUGCAUGAAGUUGGAAUCGCUAGUAAUCGCGGAUCAGCAUGUCGCGGUGAAUACGUUCCCGGGUCU
rnacentral:rRNA from 1 species